rnacentral:rRNA from 1 species
GUGCCAGCCGCCGCGGUAAUACAGAGGUGGCAAGCGUUGUUCGGAAUUACUGGGCGUAAAGGGCGAGUAGGCGGCCUUCUAAGUCAGACGUGAAAUCCCCCGGCUUAACCUGGGAACUGCGUCUGAUACUGGGAGGCUAGAGUUUGGGAGAGGGGUGUAGAAUUCCAGGUGUAGCGGUGAAAUGCGUAGAUAUCUGGAGGAAUACCGGUGGCGAAGGCGGCACCCUGGACCAAUACUGACGCUGAUCCGCGAAAGCUAGGGGAGCAAACGGGAUUAGAAACCCUCGUAGUCC